ACGGCCGUACCAUGCUGAAUAUACCGGUUCUCGUUAGAUCACCGAAGUCAAGCAUCAUUGGGCGCGGUCAGUACUGACCACCUGGGAGCACUGCGUGCCGUU